CUAAAAAAUGUUAAUCGGAAAAAGCAAAAGUGGAUGGCGUGGUGCCAGUAAGAUGGUAUCGAUAUGAUCUAGUCUCAAUUAAGUUAGUCGCAGUGGGUUCAAAAAGAAGGGACCGCGCUGGAAACAUGAGUGGAUUAAAAGGAUCAGCCCUUUUUGAAUUAAUAGUUGAUGUGGUAACCAGCUAGAAGUCGUAACCUGCUCGAAUGAAAGGGUUUCUCGACGUGAAAUUGUUAUUUUUAUUCAGCAACGCCAAG